UCGAUUGUUGUUGAUAAUGAUGUUCUCGGUAAAGAUAAACUCAAGAUUAUCGAAUCUGUCAAAUAGUUGAAGAAAAAGUUUUCCUACGAGGAAUGUAACAUUUAGAAAAUUAGAACUAAUUGUCUAGACUAUGUAUAUGAUUUUCCUAAUCGAACUAUUUUAUUUAGCCGUUUGGUUGCCUGGUAACUGACACAAGUCCAAGCCAGACAAAAACCCGGAAGGCGCAGUGUGUUUUUCUUUCAUUGAAUCAACCCAGGCAGUGAUCAAAUCGAGAUGCUCAAGUAACAUUUACAUGGAAAUGGUGCUGCUCUGUUCACGAGGAAGAAUCCCUUUCCGCCAGACCCGCCUCUGGGAAAAACACACUACAACCCCUCAUGCACCAAGAAGCUUUUUAUUUUAUUUUUAUUUCACCUUUAUUUAACCAGGUAGGCUAGUUGAGAACAAGUUGUCAUUUGCAACUGCGACCUGGCCAAGAUAAAGCAUAGCAAUUCGACACAUACAACAGCAGAGUUAGACAUGGAAUAAACAAAACAUACAGUCAAUAACACAGGAGAACAAAAGAAAACAAGUCUAUAUACAGUGAGUGCAAAUGAGACCUGAACCCUGUUGGCCUUGCCCAGCUGUCCAGCCCUCCUCCUCUCCAGACACACUCACUAACCCUAGAGGACCUGUGCUUCCUUGGGGCAGCCAACCACUUCGUCCUCUGUCCUCCUGCCACAGAGGCCCAGCGUAGUUUUAGAGUCCUGGCCCUCCACUGAUCUUGUGUCCUCCCCGGCAUACACUGCCGCCUCCCCGAACACAGACACACUGACACAGGACCCAACAUCAGGAAAGUCCCUGGUCUCCACUGGGGGAGGAGAGCAGGAAGAUUCAGUGUUGGCAAAGUACAUUGAACGCUUUCGUCACGGAAGGCCGCAGAGUCAAGAGGAACGUCUGCAGAUGUCGGCGAUGGUGGGAGAGGGCCAGCAGCCUUUCGGGUGGAUGUCCUCCUCCCCUCUACCCUCCUGUUCUACACCCACUCAAACCACUGACAAAGGGCCUGUCAGACUCCUCUCACGGUGACCUUGGAGACUCUGAGAUACUGCAUCUACAGGAGAAGGCCAGUAGUCUGCUACACAGAGUGAGCACUCACUCAGUAGUGGAUCUAUCCCCAUCAGCUCUGAGGGCCUGGGCUGCUCCAAUUUGCCCUCCCCUGUGAGCAUAGAUGAGCCAAUCCGAAGGCCUAUAAUUACCAGUCUUAUCAACUCAACCACUGUUGUGGGGAACCUAAGCUCAGCUCAUGCCCAAACUGUCCUUGGUUGGUCCCCCUGACCCCCGCACACGCCCAGAGGAGGACAUCCUGUUUCAGUGGCAUCUGAGGAGGAAGAUGGAGCAGGCCAGUCAGUGGUUUCAGUCACACCCACAGCAGGUUCACACCCUUCAUCAGCACUCUGUCAGCUGGCAGGCACACAAGGUACAGCGGAAUUCCCACCCUGCAUAUUCCACUCAUAUAGUUACCCGCUCCUUCACCCCAGCCCCCCAGGAGACCAGUGUCCCCCAUGGACCGUUCUCCCCUGCAGCUGCCCUCUCCCUCCCCAUCUCCAACCCCACCGUCUCCAAGUUGCAGCCGGAUACCCUGGUCUGUCUCCCCACAUGCACCUCCUCUGUGACAUCCUUCCUUAUACCGCUCAGCCCCGCUCCCCUCCACCCAGCCACCAUAGGAGGCCAAAGAGGAGGGAGGUCUCUUGGGCCGACCGGACCGUCAGGCAGCCCAAAGCCCAGUUCAGCUCCACAGACACCUCCACUGAGGAGCCCACUAGUAAACAUGAGUCCUCUCCACCACCGCCCGCCUCGUCUGAGACUACAGAGGAAUAGUGGGCAGUUCAACAGAGGAGAACCGAGAGGACAAAAAAGGAGACACUACAGGAGGAGAGGAGUGAGAAGCGGACAGGGCCGUCCUGCAGAAAGAAGAAAUCAGCCAGGUAUGACCUGUAUCUAAGAGGGGUGACAUUUUGAUUGAAUGACAUGUGAAGCAGAUGCGUUAUGUGGCCCCGUCGGAAAACUCAAUGACAAUAUCUCUGUGGGCAUCACGUUGGUGAUGCGGACCAUGCUGAGAGGCCCAGCUUUACAGAUUGGAGUGUGAGCCAACACAGCACCAGAGGUAAAGACAGGGUCACCCCAUGGAGAGAUGAGCCCAGCAGAGACUGGGGGCAACAGGAAAGCGGGCCAGGGGUAGUGAGAGAGGGCCACCACCCUCUCCCAUUCACAUUACCCUGGGACAGGUAGUUUCAGAGGUACUGUUCCUGACCACGGACUCUCCGGACCCGCCCAGAACCCCUGUGUCCUCUGACUCUCCCAGAUACACGCCCCCACAGUCCCCCGCCCCGCCUCCCAGUGCACAGCAGCCCCGGGAGGUCGUAGCUCAGCUGCUGCAGGAGGCUGAAGAUUCAGACGAGCAGGAGUUUAAAGACGACCCCUUACUGAAGGUCUUAAGGCAGCAGAGGAAGUGGGUGAAGGAGCAAAUCAGCGAGGUGGAGUCACUGUUGGAUGAAUUCCAGGAAGCGUGAUCACUGGUGGUGAGCACACACAUGGAACAAAAACAACAAUCAAUUCAACAGCAUUUUUAUUUUUGUACCGAAAUAUAUAGUGCAUUUAUUUUUUGUUAACAAAUUCUCUUUUUACAAUGACUAGUUAGAAAAUAUACAACAAUCUUACUGUUGGGUUUUGUGAACAUACUUGAUAAUCUGAGUGUUAUAACAUUUACACAUGAUUUAGAGGGCAUACACACGCCACACAAUCAAAUCAACAUUUUUAAUUGUUUUAUAUCAUAUUUACAAUGAAUGGUUCCAUAAAAAUAUUAAGAUUGA